UACAGAGGUCGCAAGCGUUGCUCGGAUUCAUUGGGCGUAAAGGGCGCGUAGGCGGCCCGGCAAGUCGGGUGUGAAAUCUCGGAGCUUAACUCCGAAACUGCAUUCGAUACUGCCGUGCUUGAGGACUGGAGAGGAGACUGGAAUUUACGGUGUAGCGGUGAAAUGCGUAGAUAUCGUAAGGAAGACCAGUGGCGAAGGCGGGUCUCUGGACAGUACCUGACGCUGAGGCACGAAGGUCAGGGGAGCAAACGGG
rnacentral:rRNA from 1 species